rnacentral:rRNA from 1 species
AGAGUUUGAUCAUGGCUCCGUGAACGCUAGCGACAGGCCUAACACAUGCAAGUCGAGCCUUAAACAUUUCAGCUUGCUGAAGAUGACGACCGGCGCACGGGUGAGUAACGCGUAUGCAACCUACCUGUAACAGGGAGAUAGCCCAGGGAAACUUGGAUUAAUACCCCAUAAUAUUUAUGAUUCGCAUGGAUUGAUUAUUAAACUUUCGGGGGUUAAAGAUGGGCAUGCGUGCCAUUAGAUAGUUGGUGAGGGAACGGCUUACCAAGUCUACGUUGGCUACGGGGUCUUAAAGGAUGGUCCCGCACACUGGUACUGAGACACGGACCAGACUCCUACGGGAGGCAGCAGUGAGGAAUAUUGGUCAAUGGACGCAAGUCUGAACCAGCCAUGCCGCGUGCAGGAAGACGGCCCUAUGGGUUGUAAACUGCUUUUUUACGGGAAUAAAGGUUUCUACGUGUAGAGAUUUGAAGGUACCGUACGAAUAAGCAUCGGCUAACUCCGUGCCAGCAGCCGCGGUAAUACGGAGGAUGCAAGCGUUAUCCGGAUUUAUUAGGUUUAAAGGGUGCGUAGGCUGAAAAUUAAGUCAGUGGUGAAAUCUUGUAGCUUAACUACAAAACUGCCAUUGAUACUGGUUUUCUUGAGUAUAGUUGAGGUAAAUGCAUAGAUAUUACACAGAACACCAAUUGCGAAGGCAGCUUACUAAACUAUAACUGACGCUGAUGCACGAAAGCGUGGGUAGCGAACAGGAUUAGAUACCCUGGUAGUCCACCCGUAAACGAUGAUUACUCGUUGCAUGCAAUACACCGUAUGUGACUUAGCGAAAGCAUUAAGUAAUCCACCUGGGGAGUACGUUGGCAACAAUGAAACUCAAAGGAAUUGACGGGGGCCCGCACAAGCGGAGGAACAUGUGGUUUAAUUCGAUGAUACGCGAGGAACCUUACCUGGACUUAAAUGUAGCGUGACUUUCCCUGAAAGGGGAUUUCUCUUCGGAGCAAGUUACAAGGUGCUGCAUGGCUGUCGUCAGCUCGUGCCGUGAGGUGUCGGGUUAAGUCCCAUAACGAGCGCAACCCCUAUUGUUAGUUGCUAACAGGUCAAGCUGAGGACUCUAGCGAGACUGCCACCGUAAGGUGUGAGGAAGGUGGGGAUGACGUCAAGUCAGCACGGCCCUUACGUCCAGGGCUACACACGUGUUACAAUGGUCGGUACAGAGAGCAGCUACUUGGUGACAAGAUGCGAAUCUUUAAAAGCCGGUCUAGUUCGGAUCGAAGUCUGCAACUCGACUUCGUGAAGUUGGAUUCGCUAGUAAUCGCAUAUCAGCCACGAUGCGGUGAAUACGUUCCCGGGCCUUGUACACACCGCCCGUCAAGCCAUGGAAGCUGGGGGUACCUGAAGUCCGUAACCGCAAGGAUCGGCCUAGGGUAAAACUGGUGACUGGGGCUAAGUCUUAACAGAGGUAACC